rnacentral:lncRNA from 1 species
AGGGCUAUCACAAAUUUUCGAGUUUUAUACGAGUUUUGAUGCGUCAUUAUGCUUUGGAUAUAGUCACAAAAAAAAAAACAAAAAUAAGAUUAAGAAAGUUUGAUCAUUUAUCUUGGGGCUGUUUUCAAUAAAUAUUUUAAUUUGUCCACGUACAUCAGUAAAAUCUUUGUCUCUGCAAAGGAUGUUUCAUAAAAUGUUGCUUUUGGGAAUCUUUUGAUGCUUCAGUACUACGAGGAUAUAGCAAUUUAACCAUUUAUAAAAAUGUUCAAGAUACAACUAUAUCUUGUACUUGUGCUUGCUUUCACCAAUUUAUUACAAUUCAUACAGUAAUACACCAAAAAUAAUUCUAUAAAACUGAGAGUUACUGACAAUUUUCCGUACAAAACUAUAUUUUUUAUCUAUGAAAGUAUAAUCCAAAUUCAAAUAAAACAUAUUUAAUAAUUAAGGUGGUAUUGUUAUAAAGCUUGAAAAAAAAAAUUGGUCUAUUUAAAAGUAAAACAAUAUUUUAAAAUAAUUUUUGUUUGCAAUGCAAAAAUCAAUAUAAAUCUUGUGACGCGCGGUGUUCAACUUUAGUCAGCGCCAGGCGCUUACCGAGGGAGGACGUAUCGCUCGCUGUUGCGCCGCGCAAACUCGCCGGAGCUCGAAAAAUAUAGCGCAACCUGCGCAACGAACUCGUUUUGAUACUAGAUAAUGAAAGCAUAUUUAAUUCAGAUUAUCAGACUCAAUCGGAUACCAGUACAAAUAAUAUGGAAAAUGAAGAUACAAUACAUGGAAGACGAAUUAUAGAUUUUAGUUUUUUUAUAAAUCAAUUACUUAUACCUAAUUGAUAAACAUGGUGAAAAGUUUGGUUGUCGAUUAAAUAAUUUAAAAAUUGUAAACGA